CCCAGUAGCGAAAUGUAUCGCACCGGUGCCGCGUUGUAGUACCGAGAUGGUUUCAAGCCGGAGACAACCCUGGUUCGAAUCCAGGCUGGGCCA